rnacentral:rRNA from 1 species
GGCUCCUUGUAGUUACUAAAUGGGGAGUCGGACCUGCCCAGUGAAUUUUUUCAACGGCCGCGGUACUCUGACCGUGCAAAGGUAGCAUAAUCAUUUGCCUUAUAAUUAAAGGCUUGUAUGAAUGGUUUGACAAGAAUGUAGCUGUCUCUUUAUAAUUAAGUAGAAUUUUAUUUACAGGUGAAGAAGCCUGUAUUAUAUUGAAAGACAAGAAGACCCUAUCGAGCUUUAAAAGAAUUAAUAAAUUUUAAAUAUUUAAUAUUACAUAAAAAAUUAGUUAUUAAAAAUUUUGGUUGGGGCGACUGAGGAACAAAUAAAGCUUCCUUUUUCUGAAAAACAAUCAGGUAGUGAUCCAAAAACUUUGAUUAAAGAAUUUAGUUACCGUAGGGAUAACAGCAUUAUCUUUUUUGAGAGCUCUAAUCGAAAAAAAGGUUUGUGACCUCGAUGUUGGACCAGAAUAUCCCGAAGAUGUAGCCGUCUUCAAAGGUUGGUCUGUUCGACCAUUAAAAUUCU